AGCAGCAGCCGCGGUAAUACGUAGGUGGCAAGCGUUGUCCGGAAUUAUUGGGCGUAAAGGGCUCGCAGGCGGUUUCUUAAGUCUGAUGUGAAAGCCCCCGGCUCAACCGGGGAGGGUCAUUGGAGACUGGGAAACUUGAGUGCAGAAGAGGAGAGUGGAAUUCCACGUGUAGCGGUGAAAUGCGUAGAGAUGUGGAGGAACACCAGUGGCGAAGGCGACUCUCUGGUCUGUAACUGACGCUGAGGAGCGAAAGCGUGGGGAGCGAACAGGAUUAGAUACCCCUGUAGUCCCUGUCUCUUAUAC
rnacentral:rRNA from 1 species